ACACUUACUCUUGUGUUACUGACUUGUUACACCCUCGACAACUACUGUGAUUAUUAUUAUUUGACCCUGCUGGUCAUUUAUGAACAUUUGAACAUCUUGGCCAUGUUCUGUUAUAAUCUCCACCCGGCACAGCCAGAAGAGGACUGGCCACCCCUCAUAGCCUGGUUCCUCUCUAGGUUUCUUCCUAGGUUUUGGCCUUUCUAGGGAGUUUUUCCUAGCCACCCCUCAUAGCCUGGUUCCUCUCUAGGUUUCUUCCUAGGUUUUGGACUUUCUAGGGAGUUUUUCCUAGCCACCGUGCUUCUACACCUGCAUUGCUUGCCGUUUGAGGCUGGGUUUCUGUACAGCACUUUGAGAUAUCAGCUGACGUAAGAAGGGCUAUAUAAAUACAUUUGAUUUGAUAGAAAAUUCAAUUUAUUUAAACAUUUUAGCUGGCAAUUUCAUUUAACAGAAGGCAUGAAGGUGUCUGUAAUAUAAUAAACAUGACAAAAACAAAUAGUCAUUAAUGCAUUUCUACAGCUUUCAAAAUAAAAUGACUACAGCGGGGGAGAGCCAAGAUGGAGGUGCGGUGGCCUCAAAACAGCCCCCUUGGUAGUCAUCUAGUGUGUAUAUAUAUAUAAACAUCUCUGGUUGAGUCUCAUAACAGCAGAACCAUUUCAUGUUGUCGUAGGGUUGAGUCUCUCUUGCGACGUAAUGAAAAGUGUAACAAUCUUUAGUAUUAUGUUUCUGCCUUGUUUGUUCUUCAUGCAGAAAUCAUAUUACAUCCAUUGUUAUUCAUUGCAAACCAAUCAUCCAGAAAUGGAAAACAUAGCACUGUGAAUUAACCAACAGUAUUUAUUAGGGUAACAUGUAAAGGCUUUAUGGGUUGUCAUUCCACCUUUCCUUACUGAAUUACCAUUAGAAUAAAUUGUUCCCACUGAAUAACUAGUGUUUAUUCACAAGCACAAGACUGUUCAUCCUUAAACUUGGUUUUUUCCUUUGAGAAAAACCCCAAAUGAGCAAAACCCAGAAUCCCCCCCCCCCACAAAAAACAAACGAUUUUCUGUUAACAAAGAAUUGGAUAUUACUAGAACCAAGGGACAGGGGGGGCGAACCAAGGGACAGGGGGGGCGAACCAAGGGACAGGGGGGGAGCGAACCAAGGGACAGGGGGGCGAACCAAGGGACAGGGGGGGGGGGCGAACCAAGGGACAGGGGGGGGGCCAACCAAGGGACAGGGGGGGG
rnacentral:lncRNA from 1 species